CCCUUAGAUGUUCUGGGCUGCACGCGCGCUACACUGAAGCUAUCAACACGUUUUCCCUCCCUGAGAAGGGCGGGUAACCUUUUGAAUCAGCUUCGUGGUAGGGAUCGGGGCUUGCAAUUGUUCCCCGUGAACCAGGAAUUCCUAGUAGACGCGAGUCAUAAGCUCGCAUCGAUUAAGUCCCUGCCCUUUGUACACACCGCCCGUCGCUACUACCGAUUGAACGUUUUAGUGAGGCAUUUGGACCGACGCAUCUCAAUUUAACCGCUGGUUUGUGUUGGAAAGACUUCCAAACUUGAGCGUUUAGAGGAAGUAAAAGUCGUAACA
rnacentral:rRNA from 1 species